UGCGAAUUACUAAAUAAAAAUUCCAGCAGCCAAGGUCUGACAAGUCUCCGAUGAAGAUACAUCUUAAUUGGAAAGAUGGAUAAAGGAUUGGUUCUGCUGAGUUAGCAUUGCCUGAGGGUAGUUACAAUAUAAGGCUCUCACUCCAAGAGGGUAUCUCAACACGCCGCACAGCUGACUUCCUGAGAGUCCACAUCUCCUGGCGACAAAGAGAGGGCAGAAUCGUAAGGAAGACUGUCUUUCUCCCUGCAGGAGCCAUGGAUAUUGUGGGUACGUAUCAUUAUGAGUCAGACAUGCAAAAUGAGGUUCAACCAUUAUCAUACGAAACUGAAUCAACUUUAUAUGAGUAUGAUAGUACGUAUGUGCCAUCAUCAUAUGAAGGUGAAUCAGUGACUCUGACUGUGCCAAGAUCCGGGUAUUCUGUCGAGCCAUACUGGACCCAGUAAUCCGAGUAGGAGAUCUCAUCUGAAGUUAGAAAGCCAGGGUAUGAUAGUACGUAUGUGCCAUCAUCAUAUGAAGGUGAAUCAGAGAGUCUGAUUGUGCCAAGACGCGGGUAUUCUGUCGAGCCAUACUGGACCCAGUAAUCCGAGUAGGAGGUCUCAUCUGAAGUCAGAAAGCCAGGGUAUGAUAGUACGUAUGUGCCAUCAUCAUAUGAAGGUGACUCAGAGAGUCUGAUUGUGCCAAGACGCAGGUAUUCUGUCGAGCCAUACAGGACCCGGUAAUCCGAAAGAAAGAAAGCCAGGGCCAGAAAGGCAGGGUAUGAUAGUAGAUUUUUA